GACGAACGCUGGCGGCGUGCUUAACACAUGCAAGUCGAACGGAAAGGCCCUGCUUUUGUGGGUGCUCGAGUGGCGAACGGGUGAGUAACACGUGAGUAACCUGCCCUUGACUUUGGGAUAACUUCAGGAAACUGGGGCUAAUACCGGAUAGGAGCUCCUGCUGCAUGGUGGGGGUUGGAAAGUUUCGGCGGUUGGGGAUGGACUCGCGGCUUAUCAGCUUGUUGGUGGGGUAGUGGCUUACCAAGGCUUUGACGGGUUGCCGGCCUGAGAGGGUGACCGGCCACAUUGGGACUGAGAUACGGCCCAGACUCCUACGGGAGGCAGCAGUGGGGAAUAUUGCACAAUGGGCGGAAGCCUGAUGCAGCAACGCCGCGUGCGGGAUGACGGCCUUCGGGUUGUAAACCGCUUUCGCCUGUGACGAAGCGUGAGUGACGGUAAUGGGUAAAGAAGCACCGGCUAACUACGUG
rnacentral:rRNA from 1 species